rnacentral:rRNA from 1 species
AUUGAACGCUGGCGGCAGGCCUAACACAUGCAAGUCGAGCGGAGCGGCGGACGGGUGCGUAAUGCCUAGGACUCUGCCUGGUCGUGGGGGAUAACGUCCGGUAACGGGCGCUAAUACUGCAUACUAUCAGAUGAGCCUAGGUCGGAUUAGCUAGUUGUUGGGGUAAAGGCAUACCAAGGCGACGACCCGUAACUGGUCUGAGAGGAUGAUCAGUCACACUGGAACUGAGACACGGUCCAGACUCCUACGGGAGGCAGCAGUGGGGAAUAUUGGACAAUGGGCGAAAGCCUGAUGCAGCCAUGCCGCGUGUGUGAAGAAGGUCUUCGGAUUGUAAAGCACUUUAAGUUGGGAGGCGUUACCAACAGAAUAAGCACCGGCUAACUCCGUGCCAGCAGCCGCGGUAAUAC